AAUUUCGCCCAGUGGGAAAGCGGGGUUCAGAAAAUAUGAAAAUUUCUGGCUGGGACUGUGACUUUGAUUCCUGGUCUAAAUUUUCCAUAUUGCUAACAGCCUAAUAUUUAUAAACUGUAACAUAUAGUUUGAAAUAUCUUCGGGAAAGCUCUUUAAUAGCAGCUGUAUUGUAUUUAUGUAUAUAAAAUAAACAAAACUGAAGUGAAAAUGCUAUGGUUCGCAGUGCCAUAGGAAACUCUUUUUGAUGGGGGGGGGGGGGGGGGGACGCGAGGAAAUUUUUAAAUUUAGAGUCUCUGAAAUGCCAUUUCCUGGAC
rnacentral:lncRNA from 1 species